rnacentral:rRNA from 1 species
UACGUAGGGUGCAAGCGUUAAUCGGAAUUACUGGGCGUAAAGCGUGCGCAGGCGGUUUUGUAAGUUUGUCGUGAAAGCCCCAGGCUCAACCUGGGAAUUGCGAUGAAGACUGCAAGGCUUGAAUCUGGCAGAGGGGGGUAGAAUUCCACGUGUAGCAGUGAAAUGCGUAGAGAUGUGGAGGAACACCGAUGGCGAAGGCAGCCCCCUGGGUCAAGAUUGACGCUCAUGCACGAAAGCGUGGGGAGCAAACAGG